UCCGAGUUGACCCCGGCAGUCUCCUGCGAGUCCCCGCCAUUACGCGCUGGCAACACAGGACAAGGGUUGCGCUCGUUGCGGGACUUAACCCAACAUCUCACGACACGAGCUGACGACAGCCAUGCACCACCUGUAUACCGACCACAAGGGGGGCCGUAUCUCUACGGCUUUCCGGUAUAUGUCAAACCCAGGUAAGGUGGGGAUGACGUCAAGGUACGGAC
rnacentral:misc_RNA from 1 species